GAAGCUGAAGGGCAUUAGUGCAGUGAUGAGGGACAAAAGCUUUCACAGGUGCAGGCUGGAGGAAGACCAACCCGCACAACAGCUCUCGCUACAGCUUUCAAGGAUGUCCUGUUGGGUUUUUUUCAAUACACCUGAUGAGAAAAUGUCUUACUAUCUCCAAGCAGUCCUGGACUCACCUUGAGCGGAUCUGCACAGAGACCACAGUAUGAAGGUAAACCUCAGUAUCAAGUGCAUGACAGAAACCACAGAAGCAGAUUCAGGGCUCCAGAUCCUCUUCACGAAUCCUCCUAAAAUGAGCGCGACGGAAAUAUGGACGACUUCCUGCCACUGUGUGGAGAAGAAUAGGAGUGAAUAUGUGUGUGUGCGAGUCUGAAAGGUCAGCUUUAUCGCAGGAGUUUGAGCUACCUUUGAGACUGUUUAUUGUGCGGCGCGAAUUGUGUCGAAGGAAAUUUGACAGGACAAUCGAACAAUGCCGCACAAAAAAGCCUUCACUUCCUUGUGUGCAAACUAGACAUAAUAUCUGAUUUUUAUUAUGCGUGCUAAAAUGUGUUUCUUUUCUUAGCAGUUUGUGUUGAAGAUUGACACUCACAC
rnacentral:lncRNA from 1 species